UUCAUUAUAACUUGUUAGUUGUGGCGCAUGUUAUAAUGGUGCCGGGAAGUCAGUUUGUAGCGUCAGUUUCUGUUCAAGAAAGGGUGAAUGAUAAGUUUUUAUUUUUUUGGUUUUGAAAAUGCAAAUGAUGCAUGAAUGUUAUUUUUUCCUUUUUGUUUUAUUAAUGCAAAGCUCUUUAUUUAUUUGUGUUGUUUGUUACAAGAAAC
rnacentral:lncRNA from 1 species